CCUACGGGAGGCAGCAGUGGGGGAUAUUGCACAAUGGGGGAAACCCUGAUGCAGCGACGCCGCGUGAGUGAAGGAGCAUUUCGGCACGUAAAGCCCUAUCAGCAGGGAAGAAGAAAGACGGUACCUGACUAAGAAGCCCCGGCUAACUACGUGCCAGCAGCCGCGGUAAUACGUAGGGGGCAAGCGUUAUCCGGAUUUACUGGGUGUAAAGGGAGCGUAGACGGCUGUGUAAGUCUGAAGUGAAAGUCCAGGGCUCAACCCUGGGAGUGCUUUGGAAACUGUGGGGCUAGAGUGCAGGAGAGGUAGGUGGAAUUCGUGGUGUAGCGGUGAAAUGCGUAGAUAUUAGGAAGAACACCGAUGGCGAAGGCAGCUUACGAAACAGUAACUGACGUUGAGGCUCGAAAGCGUGGGGAGCAAACAGGAUUAGAUACCCGAGUAGUC
rnacentral:rRNA from 1 species